UACUUUAUAAAUUAUAAAGUGAUAAAACCACAUUUUAUUUCUUGAAUGCACUUUGAUAAAAAUAUGGCUGAAAUUGGCAAAUAUAUUUAUGUUAUAAUUAUCUUUAUUUCCCUUUUUUUCAUUACAACGAGCGUUGAAGGUUGGAGAUGUAAAACAAAAUAUGAUUGUAUAAAAAUACGGUUCUGCAAAUUUCCUACGAUAGCGAGGUGUACAAAGCCAGAUUUUUUAUUUCUUGAAUACGAUAGAGGAUUUUGUACAUGCGAUGAUUGAGAAAUGUACCUGAUGGACGAAAUAGACAAGUGCGUCCAAUCAUAUUAAGUAAAAAAAAUAGUAUGUUAUUGUCUCCACAGUGGAUGUUGUUCAACUCGGUAAUUAGCAUAAUUUAUUAGAAAAAGAAAUAAAAGAGAAGAUUAAUAGUGGUUGCGGGGUUUUAAUUGUCUUGAGAAAUGUGAGAUUAGGUUUUUGUGAUUCGUAACGAUGAUUAUGGAAUUCUUGAAUCCCCCAGUUGUGUUUGUUGGAAAUUAAAUCGAGUAAUGAUUCGUUUA